AUUGAACGCUAGCGGGAUGCUUUACACAUGCAAGUCGAACGGCAGCGCGGACUUCGGUCUGGCUGCGAGUGGCGAACGGGUGAGUAAUGUAUCGGAACGUGCCCAGUAGCGGGGGAUAACUACGCGAAAGCGUAGCUAAUACCGCAUACGCCCUACGGGGGAAGCAGGGGAUCGUAAGGCCUUUCACGGUUGGAGCGGCCGGUAUCGGAUUAGCUAGUUGGUGAGGUAACGUCUCACCAAGGCGACGAUCCGUAGCUGGUUUGAGAGGACGACCAGCCACACUGGGACUGAGACACGGCCCAGACUCCUACGGGAGGCAGCAGUGGGGAAUUUUGGACAAUGGGGGCAACCCUGAUCCAGCCAUCCCGCGUGUGCGAUGAAGGCCUUCGGGUUGUAAAGCACUUUUGGCAGGAAAGAAACGUCGCGGGCUAAUACCCCGUGGAACUGACGGUACCUGCAGAAUAAGCACCGGCUAACUACGUG
rnacentral:rRNA from 1 species